rnacentral:rRNA from 1 species
GGCUCCUCGUGAAAACUAGAUGGGGAGUCGGACCUGCCCGGUGAAUUUUUUUUAACGGCCGCGGUACUCUGACCGUGCAAAGGUAGCAUAAUCAUUUGCCUUUUAAUUGAAGGCUAGUAUGAAUGGUUUGACAAGAGUAUAACUGUCUCUAUAUGAUUUUAUAGAAUUUUAUAUCUAGGUGAAGAAGCCUAGUUAACAUUAAAAGACAAGAAGACCCUAUCGAGCUUUCAAGAAAUUGAUAGGUUAUUUUAUAAACAUAAUUAAAAAUUUCUCUUGAAGAUUUUAGUUGGGACGACCGGGGAACAGAAAAAGCUUCCUUUAAACAUUAAUAUCCUACAAGCAAUGAUCCAAACAUUUUGAUCAGAGGAAUAGUUACCGUAGGGAUAACAGCAUUAUCUUUUUUUAGAGUUCUUAUCGAAAAAAAGGUUUGUGACCUCGAUGUUGGACCAGAAUAUCCUAAAGAUGCAGCAGUCUUUAAGGGUUGGUCUGUUCGACCAUUAAAAUUCUACG